UACGAAGGUGGCAAGCGUUACUCGGAAUUACUAGGCGUAAAGGGCAGGUGGGUGGUUUGGUUAGUCUGUUGUGAAAGCUCCUUGCUUAACGGGGAGAGGUCAACAGAUACUGCCAGACUUGAGUAUGGGAGAGGUUACUGGAAUUCCUGGUGUAGCGGUGAAAUGCGCAGAGAUCAGGAGGAACACCGAUGGCGAAAGCAGGUAACUGGACCAUUACUGACACUCAGCUGCGAAAGCUAGGGGAGCAAACAGG
rnacentral:rRNA from 1 species